CAAUCUCGGGUAAGUUAAUCACUUUCUGGGGGAUACGCGUAAUGACCAUUCAAGCUGAUUGUGACAUUACGUAGGGUAGGUAUCAGCUAAGCCUUUAGUUGAUAGACGGGAUACUUAUGGUGCAGUGUCGCCAUGUUAAUGGGAAACCCAACA
rnacentral:ncRNA from 1 species